ACGGAGGGUGCGAGCGUUGUCCGGAAUCACUGGGCGUAAAGGGCGCGUAGGCGGCCGUUCAAGGGCGCGGUGAAAGCCCGGGGCUCAACCCCGGGUCUGCCGUGCCGACUGUCAAACUCGAGGACUGUAGAGGCAGACGGAAUUCCGGGUGUAGCGGUGGAAUGCGUAGAGAUCCGGAGGAAGACCGGUGGCGAAGGCGGUCUGCUGGGCAGUUUCUGACACUGAGGCGCGACAGCGUAGGGAGCAAACAGGA
rnacentral:rRNA from 1 species